AUAAAGAAAACGGAAAGAAAGAAAGAAAGAGAAAAGUUAAUUCAUGAAAAGGUUUAUGGUCAACAUUACCUUAUUCUGUGGCCCAUGAAAUAAUGCUAAGAAUACUCAACCUGUCACUGUCUCUAUUGUUGUGAGGCCUCACAACUGCCAAAUUUUAUCCCCACUUUAUUCAUGAGAAAACCAAGGUUCAGAGAGUUUAAGUCUCUUAAAAGUAACAAGUAUAAUGGGUUCAAGUACUUAUUAAAUGUUAUCCUUCAUAUACUUUCCCUUUUGGCUCAGAGGCAUAGAAUUUCAUUGUUCUUAUUCAUUAAAAAUCUUCUUGUUAUUUUGUUGUGCAAUCUUAUAAAACUCUUUACACAUUCAUCCCUCCCCUUAAUGGUUAAUAUUAUAUUUAAAGCAUUUUUUCCCAUGAUAGCUAUGGUUCAGGAAAACUGUACAACAUUCACAUAACAAACUGAAUUGUUAGUAAGGCAAGAAGGCUCUGUUAAAUAAAGGCAGCAAAAAGUGAACAGAUGAUUAAAUCAGUGUGCUGACAUUGUGAUUUUUGUUCUUGUUUCUUAGAGGCAUGGUUCAGAGGGCAUUCUUGCAGGAGAACAUCUCUGCUAGCCCAAAAUCUUCACAUUCACUAUUGUUAUCAAACCAAACUGGAGUCUGCAAGCCCAGCCCAGGAAGAGCAGAUAUUCAUACCAAGGUUUGCAGUGGGAAAAGGAAGGUGUUUAAUUGCAAGGCGUCAAGCUGGGAAAAUUGGGCAGCUCAUGCUUAAGACUUGAGCUCCCAGAUGGCUUACAGAUAGUGAAGAAGGUGCCAGCUUCCCUUCUGCCAUGAUCUUAAGUUUCCUGAGGUUUCUCCAGCCAGAUGGACCUUUGGCUGACUACGGAUGUUGGAUGCUAGCUCUCCUCAGAAAGAUCAAAGUUACAGGCGAAUGGCCAUGAUUUAAAUGGAAAUCUGAGGGAAUGGAGCAAGGACCUGUUGGAGCAUCCAUGGGAACAACCUGGGGCACAAAAGAGGAAAGCAGCAAGAGACUGGCAAAGAUUGUCUCCCUAGAAACCUGGACCAUGAAAAGGGUAAGUCAUGGCUUCUCUUGUCUCCUCACCUGUGUGACAAUCUGAUCUCCUCCAAAGUGUUGGGGAGCCCCUCUGCUCUCACAAUCCAGACAAGGAUGUUAGUGGUGAUGGGACCUUGCUAAGGACAAUAAAUUGGGUGGUCAGUUCGUGCAGGUAUUCCCAUACACAAAUUGAAUUGGCAGGUGCCACACUGGUUGUACAUGUACUAUAGGCCACUGUUCUCCCCAGGGGACUUCAGCCCUUAGGUUGCCACAUCACCAGAUACCUCACAAACAUAGCCCAUGACCUGCUCUGACUUUGACAACCAUAUGGUGCCAGCAGAUCCCUGAGGAGCUGUGGGUUCCUUAAAGAUCUAGCCCUCAGUGUGGGCUGCCUUUAGGGAAGAGGGCAGCACAGCCCUCCAAUCUGCCCUUGGGACAAAGGAAACAUGGACAUGGAGUCAAUUGAUGAAGGGGGUGGAAUUGACUGCUGGAAAUAGAAAUGAGAAAGAGGUUAUCUCCUGUUGCCCCCAUCCACUGUUGCAGACACAACAGAGUGAAGGGUUGGGCCCAUCUCCUGCUCAUUACAUAACGCAGUACUAUCCUGGCCAUAAAGGGCAGACAAAUCACAGAACUGUUUGUCUGCUCUGGACUGGGGGAAGAGGCUUAGCCCUGAAACCUAUUUUGUAGUAGCCACCAGAAGGGAAUUUCUUUGGUUCUUCGUCACAGAUAGGAGGCAGAGGACAAUGAUUAUAUGAACUAAAGGUCACAAACCCUGCAACAGGGCCCUGAUAUGAAAGCAGAGCAUGUUCCUACUUGCCCAGGAUAAGCAGCUAGUGCAGUGCCUCAACCCUGCUCCCAAGAUCUCAGCAUACCCCAAUAUGCUUAUUCCCUUCUUCUCCUAUUAAGGUAGGUUCCUCCCCUCAUUAACAGGGUCCUGGAGAGUGGGUGGCUUUUACUCUUAAGUGACACCUACUGCAUGGAAUACUGAAUUGUACCACCAAUAAAAAGCUGCUGUCAGAAGGGCCCAGUGCUAGUGAAUGAGAUAAGCUUUAUGAGACCUGUGCAGUCUCAGCCCUGUAGAAGAUAGUGCAUCAGCUCAUACGUCCAAUACAUCAUUACAACAAGCAGCAUGUGAGAAAACCACAACGGAGAGGGUAUCCACAACAAAGAAACCUAUAUAGAGACAUGGCCCCCUGAAAGCACCCAAAAAUGAAGCCAAAUAAUCAUACACAAUACACACCACAGUCAUAUCCUCAAGGGAAAAAAGAA